rnacentral:rRNA from 1 species
UCGAACGAACCUUCGGGUUAGUGGCGGACGGGUGAGUAACGCGUGGGAAUCUGCCCUCAGGAGGGGGAUAACGGUUGGAAACGACCGCUAAUACCCCAUAUGCCGAUAGGUGAAAUGAAUUUCGCCUGAGGAUGAGCCCGCGUCUGAUUAGCUAGUUGGUAAGGUAAAGGCUUACCAAGGCUUCGAUCAGUAGCUGGUCUGAGAGGAUGAUCAGCCACACUGGGACUGAGACACGGCCCAGACUCCUACGGGAGGCAGCAGCGGGGAAUUUUCCGCAAUGGGCGAAAGCCUGACGGAGCAACGCCGCGUGAGGGACGAAGGCCUCUGGGCUGUAAACCUCUUUUCUCAAGGAAGAAGAUAUGACGGUACUUGAGGAAUAAGCCACGGCUAAUUCCGUGCCAGCAGCCGCGGUAAUACGGGAGUGGCAAGCGUUAUCCGGAAUUAUUGGGCGUAAAGCGUCCGCAGGCGGCCUUUCAAGUCUGCUGUUAAAGCGUGGAGCUUAACUCCAUUAUGGCAGUGGAAACUGAUAGGCUUGAGUAUGGUAGGGGC